CUGAAGGAAUCAGAGUGAAUAAAACUGUGGCCGUUCACACACUGGAUCCACAACACAUGGGCCAGAACGGUGUGCAGCGAGUGGAGGUCGAGGCUGCAGACCUCAGUGACCAAGUCCCUGACACAGAGUCAGAAA